rnacentral:rRNA from 1 species
GACGAACGCUGGCGGCGUGCUUAACACAUGCAAGUCGAGCGGAAAGGCCCUGCUUUUGUCGGGUGCUCGAGUCGCGAACAGGUGAGUAACACGUGAGUCACCUGCCCUGGACGGGGUGAUAACUGCAGACGACUGGGACUAAUACCUACGAGGUGCGCCUGCUGCAGGGUGGGGGUCGGAAAGUUUAGGUGGUGAGGGAUGGACUCGCGGCUUAUGAGCUUGUGGGUGGGGUAGUGGCUUAGGAGGCCUUUGGCGGGUAGCCGGCCUGGGAGGGUGACCAGGCACAAUGGGCCUGAGGUACGGCGCAGAGUGCUACGGGAGGCAGCAGUGGGGAAUAUUGCACAAUGGGCGGGAGCCUGAUGAAGCAACGCCGCGUGUGGGAAGAAGGCCUUCGUGUUGUAAACCGCAGUCGCCUGUGACGUAGCGUGAGUGACGGUAAUGGGUAAAGAAGCACCGGCUAACUACGUG